rnacentral:lncRNA from 1 species
CAAAAUUAUGUUAAAAGGAGGAUUCUAGAUUGAGUUUUUCGAAUCCUUUAAAACCAGUAUCUAGAAAUUACGUUCUAAUCUUUUUUUUCCCAGAAAUUGAGUCUGCUAAUCUUUCAUCUGUUUGUCAUAUAUAUAACAAAUAUUUUUAAUCAAAGAAGUGAUAAAUAUAUCUAGCAUUUAGUAGUUGUCAUUAAUUUUAGCUUGUAUGUGUGUGUGUAUAUGUAAAUAUAUUUUUUUUAGGAUUAUCGUAUUUAUUGACUAGUAUUCAAAUAUAUCUAUUUUGAUGUUGUUCAAAACAGUAGACCAAAGGAGGCACAUUAAAUUAGUACCAAAAUAUAUUCCAUGAAUUGCUGAAAAUUUGCUUAAAUUUGUUUCUUAGCUUCUCAAUAUCCAGAAUAAAAAGGGAAAUAAUUAUGUAAAAUAAUCAGUGCCCAUACAAUAGAAACAAUACUAUUCAUCAUUUCCUCAAGAGAAACAAUUUCUCUGGUGCUAAGGUAGGUUUUUAUUUACGUCCUCACAAAAGGGACAAAGGGGGUAUAGGGAAUAAUGUCUUCCACAUAUUGUGAACAAAUGUAACCAUGUUUUCAUAGGAUUUGUGGAUUCUGUAAAAGCAGUUCUGCUCAGGAUAAAUGCAAGUUUUCAGUGUUUACGUGGUUUUUUUGAUCUAUAAAUAACAGUUAAAAUGUCUAUUGGGGUCCUUAUUUAACUCUCAAAAGGGUUUUAGAAGUAAAUAGCAGAUUCAACUAUCCAUUGAAGCCACUUUUACUAAUAUGUGAUAACAUGAGCUUAGAGUAGACUACUUUUCUUACUAUACUCCAUAUCAGGGUAACCCAUGGCGUGCAAUUAUUUUAUCUAGAAGUAGUUCCAAGAUGUUAUGGUACUAGUUCAAAAGAACUACAUCCAGAUCUUUGUGUUCCAUUUUAUAGAGAUGAUACAUUGUUGAACUGUAGGCUUUUGUGCAUUUUCAGGAACAUGGUCUAGUGCUAAAGAGUUUUUAUUUUCAUUAAAUUAUAUGCUUUUAAAAAUUACAUAGGAAAGAGAGCUUGAGGCAAACAAAAAAGAAAAAA